CCCAUCCAUCACCCCCACCCUAGAUACAUGAUUUGUACGUACUUAUUAUAUAUUGUUAUUAGUUUGUUCUUAUUGAGAUGUUUAUGAAUUUACUACAAUAACAUGUAUCUAUUGAGACAGUCUUAUUAGUUUGUAUUUAUUAUAAUGUUGUAUUUUUGGUAGAUUAGAAACUAGUAUUAUUAGAAAAAAAAUUUAUAUAAAACGAUGGCCCUGAGACAAAAAAAAAAAAAAAAAUCCCUCCUUCCUACUAAAGAUGGCUCAUUUUUCAUUUUGGGUUGUCCCGCUAAAGAUGACUCAUUUUCAUAAAAGACAAUAUUUAACUUUUGAAAAGUUGUGAACACUAUCACUUUUAUCCAAUUAACUCAUUCUCCUUAAUAUCCG
rnacentral:lncRNA from 1 species